rnacentral:tRNA from 1 species
GGUGGGGUGGCGGAGCGGUUACGCGUACGCCUGCAGAGCGUAUUAACAGGGGUUCGAAUCCCCUCCCCACCU